AAGGGAAUUGUGACAUAUUACUGGGCCAGCCACCUAGGUGAUGUGGCUCUGACAAAGGAGAAAUUGUGAUGUACCACUGUUCCACACCUAAGAGAUUUGACUCUCAUCUUUUCAUGAGCCCUGCAUUUAUUGUGUAUUGUGACAUAUGGCUUGAUCCAACACCUUGGUGAUGUGACUCUCUACUUCUUCCUGAGCUAUGCCAAAAAAGAAGAUUGUGACAUAUCACUGGAUCCAGUACCUAGAUGAUGUAAAUCUUUUCUUUUGCUGAGCCAUGCAUAUUUUUGGUAUUGUGACAUGUCGCUGGACCCAACACCUACAGGAUUGGAUCAGAGGCUACUGAAUAAGCCCUGCCCAUAGGCGGCCUUGUGACAUAUGUCUGCAUCUAUCGCCUAAGUGAUGUGACUCUUUUUCUGCCUGCAGCCUGCACAUAGAGAAGAUUGUGACAUAUAGCUCUGCCCAGUAACCAGGUGAUGUGUCUUUUCUGGCAGGUCUUUUCCCACAGGGAGCAUUGUGAAACAUCACUGGGCUCAGCCACCAGGUUAUGUGACUCUUCUGCCUGUGCCCUGCUUCCAGAAAAUAUUGUGACAUUCCUCAUACAGCAUCCAGGUGAUGUGACUCUUCUGCUCAUUUUCUACUUACAGGAGACAUGCCCAAAAAAGGGAUUGUGGCAUAUCUCUGAGCCCAGCACCCAAAUGUUGUGACUCUCCUGCCUGAGCUGUGCCUAGAGAAAAUAUUAUAAUAUGUCACCGGACCCUGCAUGCAAGUGAUCCAAUUCUCCAGUCUGGGCCUUGCCCAUAGAGGAGAUUGAGACAUAUUCCAGGUGAAGAAUUCAGGUCAUGCAAAUGGAGGCGGAUUUUGACAUAUCAUAAAGCCAACAUAAUACACAGUCUGCAGGUGGAAUUGGGACUCUCAUGCAUGGAUCCAGUUCAUCAUUGAUACUGUGACUCAUGUACUUGGAUGCAACUCACAGGAGGUGUUGACGCUUUUUACCUGAAGCUGGGACAUGUGUGGAAUUGUGAAUCCUAGCCCUAGAUCUUCCCACAGGUCAUGCAAAUGGAGGGGGAUUGUUACAUAUCAUAGGGCCAACACAAAAAUAAUGUAAAACUCCUGCCUGAGCCAUGCCCAUAGAAGGCAUUGUGACAUAUCACCCGUCACAGCACUCAGGUGGGAUUUUGACAUAUAACUGCACCCAGCACACAGGUGAAGUAUCUCGUAUGCUCAUCCUGCCAAAAGUUAUGAGUGUCACCCUCACACAUGGACAGAGACCUCUGGUUAGGUCUUGAAUCUUGUACAUGGACACAGUCCGCAGUUGGAAUGUCAUAUGUAGAUCCAGCCACAGGUGUGAUGUUGACCUAUUUAUAAAGUUAGCUCACAGGCACAUUGAUAACUCUCAUACCUGGAUCCAGCCAAUAAAAGAUAUGUUGACUAUUAUA
rnacentral:lncRNA from 1 species